GCCGCUUUAGCUCAGGAGGUAGAGCGUUUCCAUGGUAAGGAAGAGGUCGUUGGUUCAAAUCCAAUAAGCGGCU
rfam:Lactobacillus senmaizukei DSM 21775 = NBRC 103853 strain DSM 21775 Scaffold29, whole genome shotgun sequence.